UACAGAGGUCCCAAGCGUUGUUCGGAUUCACUGGGCGUAAAGGGCGCGUAGGCGGUUUGACAAGUCUGAUGUGAAAUCUCUGGGCUCAACCCAGAGUCUGCAUUAGAAACUGUCGGGCUUGAGUAUGGGAGAGGUGAGUGGAAUUUCCGGUGUAGCGGUGAAAUGCGUAGAUAUCGGAAGGAACACCUGUGGCGAAAGCGGCUCACUGGACCAUAACUGACGCUGAGGCGCGAAAGCUAGGGGAGCAAACAGG
rnacentral:rRNA from 1 species